GUGUCAGCCGCCGCGGUAAUACGGAGGGUGCAAGCGUUAUCCGGAUUCACUGGGUUUAAAGGGUGCGUAGGAGGGUAGGUAAGUCAGUGGUGAAAUCCCCGAGCUUAACUUGGGAACUGCCGUUGAUACUAUCUAUCUUGAAUAUCGUGGAGGUGAGCGGAAUAUGUCAUGUAGCGGUGAAAUGCUUAGAUAUGACAUAGAACACCAAUUGCGAAGGCAGCUUGCUACACGAAUAUUGACUCUGAGGCACGAAAGCGUGGGGAUCAAACAGGAUUAGAAACCCCCGUAGUCC
rnacentral:rRNA from 1 species